UAUAUUUUAAUGUAAUAAGCAUAAAAAUUUUUGAAAUUUUUAGAAAUAGUUUAAUUCUAUUAUAUAUAU
rnacentral:tRNA from 1 species